CGACAACGCCGCCGCCAUGGAGGACGUGAACGAGUACAGCAACACGGAGGAGUUCGCAGAGGGAUCCAAGAUCAACGCGAGCAAGAAUCAGCAGGAUGACGGUAAAAUGUUUAUUGGAGGCUUGAGCUGGGACACAAGCAAGAAAGAUCUGACUGAAUAUUUGUCUCGAUUUGGGGAAGUUGUAGACUGCACCAUUAAAACAGAUCCAGUCACUGGACGAUCAAGAGGAUUUGGAUUUGUGCUUUUCAAAGAUGCUGCUAGUGUUGAUAAGGUUUUGGAACUGAAGGAACACAAACUGGAUGGCAAAUUGAUAGAUCCCAAAAGGGCCAAAGCUUUAAAAGGGAAGGAGCCCCCCAAAAAGGUUUUUGUGGGUGGAUUGAGCCCAGAUACUUCUGAAGAACAAAUUAAAGAAUAUUUUGGAGCCUUUGGAGAGAUUGAAAAUAUUGAACUUCCCAUGGAUACAAAAACAAAUGAAAGAAGAGGUUUUUGUUUUAUCACAUAUACAGAUGAGGAGCCAGUAAAGAAAUUGUUAGAAAGCAGAUAUCAUCAAAUUGGUUCUGGGAAGUGUGAAAUCAAAGUUGCCCAACCCAAAGAGGUAUAUAGGCAACAACAGCAACAACAAAAGGGAGGAAGAGGUGCUGCAGCUGGUGGAAGAGGUGGUACUAGGGGUCGAGGCCGAGGUCAGGGCCAAAACUGGAACCAAGGAUUUAAUAACUAUUAUGAUCAAGGUUAUGGAAAUUACAACAGUGCCUAUGGUGGUGAUCAAAACUAUAGUGGCUAUGGCGGCUAUGAUUAUACUGGGUAUAACUAUGGGAACUAUGGAUAUGGACAGGGAUAUGCAGACUACAGUGGCCAACAGAGCACUUAUGGCAAGGCGUCUCGAGGGGGAGGCAAUCACCAAAAUAAUUAUCAGCCAUACUAAAGGAGGACAUUGGAGAAAACAGCGGGAACUUCAUUGCAGGCCGUGUGUCACCCUGACCACGUCUAUCUCUGGGGGUCGCACGUUGCGGGCAGAGCGCAAGGCAUACACCAGAAAACGCUGUCCUGUGGAGGAGAUUGCUAAAGUAACCCAUCUGGCAGGACGCCAUUGAAGAUUGAUUGAUCUUCUCUUGCUCUAAGAUGAUUAUUUUGUAAAAGACUUUCUAGUGUAUAAGACACAACUGUGUCCAACUGUAUAUAGCCGCCAAUUAGUUUUCUUUGUUUUUACUUUGCCUUUUGCUAUGUGUUAUGAUUCAAUGUGGAUUUGUGUUUAUACAAAUUUUAUUUGUAUGAUUUCAUGUUAAACCUCAAAUAAAUGCUUCCUUAUGUGAUUGUUUUUCUGCGUCAGGUACUAAAUAGCUCUGUAAAAAAGGGUGAUUUUAAAUAAGCAAUAAUUAAGGCACAGUUUAUUUUGUAAGGAGUAUUGGUCUGUAAGGAGAAACUGGCCCUUAUGAACAGCCAGCUACAGUCACCCUGUUCCCAUUUUUGUUAGCUGUAUUCUAUGCUCCCACUCUUCAUUUCCCUGUUAACUGAGGCUUUCACCACAUUUCAAAAUGUUUCCUCUGUGUGUAUCUGGAGACCUUUGUCAUGGAAGUAUCCAUGUCAUAGUCAUAGUGUUGUGAUUAGUGGAAGCUUUCUAGUAGACCAUGAAUCUUCCAAUGAUUAUACUCUGAAGAAAAGUACCCCUUUAAUGGCACAAAGCAUGUCGGUUGCUCCUUUUAUGAAUGGGAAAGAUUUUGCUUUGUUCCUGUCUCUGGAAAGCCAUUUGUCGUGAUUUGUUAAAUGUUUUAACUUAAGUGGUUUGUUAGAAAGACCUUUGAGUAAUCAUAAUACCAUGACUUUAAUUGUUCUUGAUAAAAAGUCCAGAUGUACCCAGGAAUAAAGCACUGUUGAACUAGUGGGAGCUAUAGUUUGAGGCUAUCAAAAAUAGUUACAUUAUCGCAAAGAUUUUGGCAGAUAAGUUUGAGGUUAUUAGAACUAGAGCAAAAGUUAAGGUAUUUAAAGGUAGUGACUGAAUUAGUUUUAGUUGGUAUGUCACAGUAAGUGGCAAACAGCUGUUUUGGGGCAUUCUUAGGAAGCUAUAUUGGGUGUUAACUGUUAAUGUGUGAACUCUUAGUAAAAGCCAUGUUAGUAGCUCAUUUUUAAUGCAAUUAGUGCAUGGGCCAAGUAGCUACGCAUAUCCAUAUUCAGACAGGAAGAAAUAGGGAAACUGCUUGAGUGUUAUUUUAAUGCAAAUCUUAAGUGUGACCAAGUCAUGUCAUUUGAACAAUCUUGGUGCAUUAUUAAAAAGCUUUAGCUCUAGAUUUUGGGAGGAUUUCCUGGGUAAAUCCAAGCUUUGAAUUUUAUAUUAAGUAUAGUUAUUGGACUUAAGGUUUUUUAAAUUUUGUUUUGUUUUUAUGAUUCCAUGUUAGCCAUUGGGGAUUGGGAUACGUUCGUAUGCGUAUGUGGAAUAGUUGACCUCACCUUAAACUAUAAACUUACAUUGAUGAA